UGUGCUAAACUGCUGAGGAAGCUUCCUUGAGAAAGAUCUUGUUAAGUGGUCUCAAUCUUGACCUCGAGGAAUGAGGGGAGGGUGAGGUCAAUUAUCCUCUAGUGAAAGUGAGUAUUGGAGUGGAAAAAUAGUUUAAGAAGGAGAAGGAAAAGAGUUAUAAUUAUUGCUGUGUAUUUAUUCAUAUCUCAUGUUUAUUGAAUGUCUCAGGUAGCAUACUAAGUGCCUUGAAUGUGUUUUUAAAAAUGAGAAAUUUAAAAACAUUCCAGGCAUUGAGGGGUAAGUUGAAUUUACAAGUUGAGAGAUAUCUUCACGAGUCUUUUUUCUUUCAGCAGUGGGAGGUAAUAAAGCAUAGUGAGGAGGAUAGUCGCUGGAUUCAGACUGCUUGAGUUUGAAGCCCUGCUUUGCCCCAUAAUACCUGUGUGACCUUGGGUGUGGAGAGUUUAAGUUACUGCAUUGUAUUGCUGCCUUGGCAUCCAUUUUGUUCAGCCAAGUGGUUUGCUGGGACCUUAAAAUGACACUAUCCCCCUCAUGCAAGCACGUGCCUUAGAUAGCCCACGGAGUCACAAACAAAUGUAAGUUCCUGAUAUGACUUCCCCAGCAACCCUCGUGAUCAGCUGCCUCCCAGCACCUGUAUGCUGUAUGGGCCCCCUAGAAAAGACCCCUGGGGCUUACCAAAAACCUACUCUUUCGGUUUAAAUUGAUCUAUCUUGUCCUAGCCUAGGAACCCAAAGUACUCCACCCACAGACCCUAAUAAAGGUAUGUGCCCCAGGUCCUGUCUUUCUAUCUGCACUCUGCCUUGACCUCCCCGUGUGGCUCUUCCAGUACCUAUUGCCUGCUUCUUGAUUGGGAGACCCUCUGAGUCCAACUGUGCAUAGCUCUGAUGAACAUACACCAGUAGAGGAUGAAGAGCCAAAGAAAAGCACCACUUCAGCUUCUACUUCAGAAGAAGAAAAGAAGAAGAAGAAGUCUAGUCAUUCAAAAGAAAGGUCCAAGAAAAGGAGAAAGAAAAAAUCAUCUAAAAGAAAACACAAGAAGUAUUCUGACGAUAGUGACAGUGACUCUGAUUCCGAAACAGACUCCAGUGUGACUGCAGGAUACAUCUUAGAGAUGAGGAAAGAGAGGCACAGAGCAGAUUAUAUAAUCACUAGAUGAACACCGAAUUAUACAACUAUACACACAUGCAGACACACACAUACAAAUGAUAGGGAGAAAAAGGAUGAUAACUAUGAAGAAGGAGAAAGAAACAGGAGAGAAGAGUCUUUGCAACUCAGAGAUUUCCAGAGAAACUCUACAGACAGUGCUUCAGACAGAACAGAGUAUGUUGCUGUUCUGUUUCUCAAUCCACAUCUAAGACCACCAAUUGGGAAACUGAAGCUUGGAAUGAUGAUGAGCCUUGCUCAGUGUCACGUGACAAGAAUACGGGCGAAGUUCUCGCUAUGAG